rnacentral:rRNA from 1 species
UAGUAUAAACAAAUUUAUACCGUGAAACUGCGAAUGGCUCAUUAAAUCAGUUAUAAUUUAUUUGAUAUUCACUUACUACUUGGAUAACCGUGGUAAUUCUAGAGCUAAUACAUGCGUACAUAACCUCGACUUCUGGAAGAGGUGCACUUAUUAGAUAAAAAGCCAACGCGGGCAACCGCUUGUAUGGUGAUUCAUAAUAAUUAAGCGAAUCGCAUGGCCUUGAGCCGGCGAUGAUGCAUUCAAAUUUCUGCCCUAUCAAGUUUCGAUGGUAGGUUAGUGGCCUACCAUGCUUUUAACGGGUAACGGGGAAUUAGGGUUCGAUUCCGGAGAGGGAGCCUGAGAAACGGCUACCACAUCCAAGGAAGGCAGCAGGCGCGCAAAUUACCCAAUCCCGACACGGGGAGGUAGUGACAAUAAAUAACAAUACAGGGCCUUUACGGGUCUUGUAAUUGGAAUGAGUACAAUUUAAAUCCCUUAACGAGGAACAAUUGGAGGGCAAGUCUGGUGCCAGCAGCCGCGGUAAUUCCAGCUCCAAUAGCGUAUAUUAAAGUUGUUGCAGUUAAAAAGCUCGUAGUUGAAUUUUGGCCUUGGGUGGUUUGGUUUGGCCUUCAUUGGUCAAUGCCUUUUCCGCCUAGGUCUUACCUUCUGGGUUAGCUAGUAUUGCUUCGGUGGUGCUAGUGAACCAGAACUUUUACUUUGAAAAAAUUGGAGUGUUUAAAGCAGGCUUUCAAGCUUGAACAUAUUAGCAUGGAAUAAUGAAAUAGGACUUUGGCCUUAUUUCGUUGGUUUCUAAAGCCAAAGUAAUGAUGAAUAGGGAUAGUUGGGGACAUUAGUAUUCAAUUGUCAGAGGUGAAAUUCUUGGAUUUAUUGAAGACUAACUUCUGCGAAAGCAUUUGUCAAGGAUGUUUUCAUUAAUCAAGAACGAAAGUUAGGGGAUCGAAGACGAUCAGAUACCGUCGUAGUCUUAACCAUAAACUAUGCCGACUAAGGAUCGGAUGGUGUUAUAUUUUAUAUUGACCCAUUCGGCAUUUCAGCGUAUAAGCCAAGUU